CGAACGUUGGCGGCGCGCUUAACACAUGCAAGUCGCACGAGAAAGCACCUUCGGGUGUGAGUAGAGUGGCGCACGGGUGAGUAACACGUGGAUAAUCUACCUUCUGGCGGGGGACAACAUCCUGAAAGGGGUGCUAAUACCGCAUAAGUCCACUUCGGUGGGGAAAGAUGGCCUCUCCUUGGAAGCUAUCACCAGAAGAUGAGUCCGCGGCCCAUCAGUUAGUUGGUAGGGUAAUGGCCUACCAAGGCAACGACGGGUAGCUGGUCUGAGAGGAUGAUCAGUCACACUGGAACUGAGACACGGUCCAGACUCCUACGGGAGGCAGCAGUGGGGAAUAUUGCGCAAUGGGCGAAAGCCUGACGCAGCGACGCCGUGUGGGUGAUGAAGGUUUUCGGAUCGUAAAGCCCUGUGGGAGAGGGAAGAACAACCUGACAGAACAAUACCUGGCAGGUCUGACGGUACCUCUUCAGAAAGCACCGGCUAACUCC
rnacentral:rRNA from 1 species